AACAGAGGAAUCGUGUCGCGAUUUGGCAAUCGUGACACGAUCGGAGAUGCCGUGAGCCAAGUUUGCUGGAAGCAAAAUCGUGGCACGAUCUUGGGAAAUCGUGACACGAUUCAGAAACUUGCUGGUUAAGUAUCUCUGAUAAGGACUGGUCAACCUGGGGACCGUUGCAGAUCGUGACACGAUCUAGGGAAAUCGUGGCACGAUUUCUUCAGGGCAGGACUAGUAUUUAAAGUGUUCUUGUGCUUUUUUGAAGACAACCUUAAGACAACCUUGAGAGAACUUAAGAGAGAAAACUUGGAGAUCAAAGAGGGGAUCCUUUGGGGUGUGUUCCUUUGAUGAGAGUGUUUCUUAGGUUGGGAAAACAACAUUGUAAUCACCUUGGGAUUUAGGGUUCAUAGUGUGAGGAUGGGAAAAUACCAAAGGGUAGAUCUAGGGUUUUGUCAUGUGUAAAGCUUGAUAAGCUAGAUUCUUGUAACUCUUUUGUAACACAUUCACAUAUUGGAUUGGAGAGCUGCUCUCUCCCCCAGAUUAGGCCACAUUGGCUGAACUGGGUCAACAAUCUUGCUUGGUGUUUGUUCUUUUCUUUUCAUGGUUUAUCUUGUUAUGCUUGUUAGCUCUUAGUGUGGUUUUUGCUAUACAUUAGGCUUAGGCUGUUUUGUUGUUGUUAGCUUGGAGGCCAUUUGCACUCAUAGAUUAUCUCUAUCACUUGCUCCACACAUCAUUGGUUUAUUCUAAUUGGUGUGAAGGUUCAUUAGUUGAGCCGGAUUCACAACAAUUGGCGCCCACCGUGGGGCAUAGGCGUGAUUGAUAGUUGGUAUCAUGGGGUCAAAGUGGGACAUCGAGAAGUUCACCGGAAGUAAUGAUUUCGGGUUAUGGAAGGUUAAGAUGCAAGCGGUAUUGACACAACAAAAGUGUGUAGAAGCAUUGAAGGGUGAAGCGGCGAUGCCGGCAACCUUGACACAAGAGGAGAAGCGUGAGAUGGUAGACAAGGCAAAGAGUGCCAUUGUCUUAUGUCUCGGAGAUAAGGUCUUAAGGGAUGUCGCGAGAGAAGCUACCGCAGCAUCGAUGUGGGCAAAGUUGGAGUCAUUGUAUAUGAUGAAAUCUUUGGCUCAUAGGCAACUCUUGAAGCAACAACUCUAUUCAUUCAAGAUGGUGGAGUCUAAAUCGAUCUCGGAGCAACUAACGGAGUUUAACAAGAUUCUUGAUAAUUUGGCCAACAUUAAAUUUAACAUGGAAAAUAAGGAUAAGGCUUUGUUGUUACUUUGUUCAUUACCAAAGUCCUUUGAGCAUUUCAAGGAUACCAUUCUUUAUGGUAAGGAGGGCACUACUACUUUGGAGGAGGUCCAAGCGGCUUUGAGAACCAAAGAAUUGACCAAGUUCAAGGACAUGAGGGUUGAUGAAGGUAGUGAAGGCUUGAAUGUUACAAGAGGGAGGAAUGAGCAUAGAGGAAAAGGCAAAGGGAAAUCAAGAUCCAAGUCUAGGUCCAAGGGCUUUGACAAAUCAAAGUAUAAAUGCUUUCUUUGUCACAAGCAAUAGGGAUGGCAAUGGGUACCCAAUGGAUAGGGUACUACAAUGUCCGUCUCCAUACCCGCAUUUAUAAAAAAUACCCGUACCCGUGCCCGUACCCUUGUGGGCAACAACUUUAGUCCCCUUCCCCAUACCCUAUGGGUACUUAAUUACUCAUACCCGCACUCAUUACCCGCACUUUAACUAUGGAAAAACAAAAAAAACAUCACAAAUGAAAUAAAACUACGAUCCCAAUUUUUUAAAAUUAACUCAUAAAAUAAUAUGAACUAUGGUAUUUAGUCAAAUAGAAAACAUCCGAAAUAUUCCUAAAAAAUUAUACACCGGCAUGAUGGAGUUGUUAUUGUAUUAAGUAGUUGUUUGGUUUAAGUUUAGGUUUAGGCUUAAAUAACUAAAUAAAUUAAUUAAUUAUACAUAAAAAAUAAAUAAAUAAUUUAUGAUAUUAUAUAAAUAUGCAUAUGCGGGUCUGCGGGUCUGGGCAGUAUAGUACCCUUACCCGUGCCCAUACCCAUUUAAUUUUUUGGGUAUUACCCGUACCCGUGCCCAGACCCAUAAAAGCGGGGUUUUACCCUACCCAUUAUGGGUAUUUUUUGCGGGUAUCCAUUGGGUCUGGGUCCAAUUGCCAUCCCUAACAAGCAAGGUCAUUUCAAGAAAGAUUGUCCGGAUAAGGGGGGCGAAAGUGGUCCCUCGGUUCAAGUUGCGGAGGCUUCAAAUGAAGAAGGUUAUGAGAGUGCGGGUGCGCUAGUGGUAACAAGUUGGGAACCGGAGAAGAGUUGGGUUUUGGACUCGGGAUGCUCUUAUCACAUGUGUCCUAGAAAGGAAUAUUUUGAGACUUUGAUUCUAAAAGAAGGAGGAGUUGUUCGACUCAGAAAUAACAAAGCUUGCAAAGUCCAAGGCACGGGCAACGUUCGUCUAAAGAUGUUUGAUGGCCGUGAAUUCCUUUUAAGGGAUGUGAGGUUUGUUCCCGAACUUAAGCGAAAUUUAAUUUCCAUAAGCAUGUUUGAUAAUCUAGGUUAUUGCACUAGAAUAGAGCAUGGGGUUUGUAAAAUUUCGCAUGGUGCAUUGAUUACGGUAAAGGGGUCUAGAAUGAAUGGUUUAUACAUUUUAGAUGGUUCCAUAGUAAUUGGUAAUGCAUCGGUAGCCAGUGUUGCAUAUCAUAAUAAUUCUGAAUUGUGGCAUUUGAGGUUGGGGCAUGUUAGUGAGAGGGGUUUAGUUGAACUAGCUAAACAAGGUUUGCUAGGGAAAGAUAAAUUGGACAAGCUUGAAUUUUGUGAACAUUGCAUACUAGGCAAACAACAUAGGGUGAAGUUUGGAAGUGGCAUGCAUCAUUCUAGUAGACCUUUUGAGUAUGUGCAUUCAGAUCUUUGGGGUCCUUCUAAGAGUCCUACUCAUGGGGGAGGUUCCUAUUUUCUUUCUAUCAUUGAUGAUUAUUCUAGGAGAGUGUGGGUCUUUGUUUUGAAAAACAAAAGUGACACCUUUGAAAAGUUCAAAGAAUGGCACACUCUCAUAGAAAAUCAAAUGGGAACUAAACUAAAAGGUUUAAGAACUGACAAUGGCCUGGAGUUUGUUUCAGAGCAGUUUAAUGAGUUUUGCAGGUUGAAAGGAAUCAAGAGGCAUAGAACCGUACCAAGAACACCUCAACAAAAUGGUCUUGCGGAACGCAUGAAUAGGACUCUUUUGGAGCGUGUGAGGUGUAUGAUUCUAGGAGCUGGGUUACCUAAGAGUUUCUGAGGUGAAGCCGUGACAACGGCUGCUUAUUUGAUCAAUAGAUGUCCAUCAACGGGAAUAGACUUCAAGAUACCUAUGGAGGUAUGGAGUGGGAAACCGGCGGAUUACUCCUCUUUGAAGGUUUUCGGAGCUUUGGCAUAUGCGCAUAUCAAGCAAGACAAGCUUGAGCCUAGAGCUUUGAAAUGUGUCUUCAUUGGUUAUCAGGAAGGUGUGAAGGGAUACAAGUUGUGGAAAUUGGAAUCUAGUGGAAGAUCAAGAGUCUUGAUAAGUAGGGAUGUUACCUUUGAUGAGACCCGGAUGGGGAUGAAGUGUAAAGACCUAGAGACUCAAGUACCGGAAACUAUGGUGGAGAGAACUCAGUUUGAGGUGGAGCUUCCAAAUGAAGAAGAAGAAGAUGUAGAAGAUGAAGCUUCAACAUCGGAUACAAGUGGAACUCAACCGGUAGUGGAUCCUGAGUAUCUAUUGGCAAGAGAUAGAGAAAGAAGGACCAUUACGGCUCCUAAGAGAUUCGGUUAUGCGGACUUGGUGUGUUUUGCUCUAAAUGCGGCGGAAGAUGUGCAAGACUCGGAGCCUAGAGACUUCAAGGAGGCAUUUGAGAGCAAAGAGAGCAAAUAUUGGUUGAAGGCGGUGAAUGAAGAAAUGGAUUCAUUGGAAAGGAACCAAACUUGGAAACUUGUGAAGUUACCUAAUCACAAAAGGGUAGUUGGAUGCAAGUGGAUCUUCAAGAAAAAGGAUGGCAUUCCGGGUGUUGAAGGUCCAAGGUACAAAGCAAGACUUGUGGAAAAGGGUUUCACUCAAGUGGAGGGGAUCGACUACAACGAGAUCUUUUCACCGGUGGUGAAGCAUUGUUCCAUAAGGAUACUUAUGGCUAUUGUGAAUCAAUUCAAUCUUGAGUUGGAACAGAUGGAUGUGAAGACCGCUUUCUUACAUGGUGACCUUGAAGAGACAAUCUACAUGGAACAACCGGAAGGUUUUGUGGAGGACAAGUCUAAGGUGUGUCUUUUGAAGAAAUCUUUGUACGGGUUGAAGCAAAGCCCUAGGCAAUGGUAUCGUCAGUUUGAUGAGUUUCUUUUGAAGACCGGUUUUGUGAGAAGCGGAUAUGAUUCUUGUGUGUACAUGUUGAAGAAGAAUGAGAAAGUCAUUCUCUAUCUUCUUUUAUAUGUGGAUGAUAUCUUGAUGGCGAGCUCUAGCAAGGAUGAGAUUAUGAAGCUCAAGGAGAGGUUAAAUGGUGAAUUUGAGAUGAAAGAUCUUGGUCCGGCAAAGAGAGUUCUUGGGAUUGAUAUCGUGAGGAAUCGUGACAAAGGGGAACUUUUCUUAUCUCAACUUGGUUAUUUGAAGAAGGUGGUGGAGCGUUUUAGAAUGUCAAACUUUAAAACCGUAAGCACUCCCUUGGGUCACCACACAAAGUUGUCCAUACAACAAUGUCCUUAAUCCGAGGAUGAGAAGCAAUUGAUGGAAGGUACUCCCUAUGCAAGUGGGGUUGGAAGCAUCAUGUAUGGAAUGGUUUGUAGUAGGCCGGACUUGGCUUAUGCGGUUAGCAUUGUGAGUCGGUUUAUGGCAAAUCCGGGAAUUGUGCAUUGGCAAGCUUUGAAGUGGGUGUUGAGGUAUUUGAAUGGGUCGUUGAAGGGCGGUUUGAAGUACACAAGGGCAGCUCAAGAUGAAGACGCUUUGGAGGGGUAUGUUGAUGCGGAUUAUGCGGGCAACGUGGACACUAGAAAAUCCUUGUCGGGUUUUGUGUUUACUCUUUAUGGCACAGCGAUUAGUUGGAAGGCAAAUCAACAAUCCGUGGUGGCAUUAUCUACAACUCAAGCGGAGUACAUCGCACUUGUUGAAGGUGUGAAGGAGGCCAUAUGGUUGAAAGGGAUGAUUGGUGAGUUAGGAAUUACUCAAGAAUGUGUGAAGAUACAUUGUGAUAGUCAAAGUGCCAUUCACUUGGCAAAUCAUCAAGUGUAUCAUGAAAGGACAAAGCACAUUGACAUUCGCCUGCACUUUGUCAGAGACAUGAUUGAAGCAAAAGAGAUUGUGGUUGAGAAAGUGGCAUCAGAGGAGAAUCCGGCGGAUGUGUUCACCAAGUCAUUGCCUCGAUCAAGAUUCAAGCAUUGCUUGGACUUGAUCAAGUUUGUCGAAGAGUAAUUCCCUUUGGAGAGAGCAGCAUGGUGGUUGAUGGUUAUAUUGACAUCACCACCAAAUUAGAAGUCAAGGUGGAGAAAUGUUGAAAAUUGGCUUCAAAUUUGUGGUUUGGAAGAACAGAGGAAUCGUUUCGCGAUUUGGCAAUCGUGACACGAUCGGAGAUGCCGUGAGCCAAGUUUGCUGGAAGCAAAAUCGUGGCACGAUCUUGGGAAAUCGUGACACGAUUCAGAAACUUGCUGGUUAAGUAUCUCUGAUAAGGACUGGUCAACCUGGGGACCGUUGCAGAUCGUGACACGAUCUAGGGAAAUCGUGGCACGAUUUCUUCAGGGCAGGACUAGUAUUUAAAGUGUUCAUGUGCUUUUUUGAAGACAACCUUAAGACAACCUUGAGAGAACUUAAGAGAGAAAACUUGGAGAUCAAAGAGGGGAUCCUUUGGGGUGUGUUCCUUUGAUGAGAGUGUUUCUUAGGUUGGGAAAACAACAUUGUAAUCACCUUGGGAUUUAGGGUUCAUAGUGUGAGGAUGGGAAAAUACCAAAGGGUAGAUCUAGGGUUUUGUCAUGUGUAAAGCUUGAUAAGCUAGAUUCUUGUAACUCUUUUGUAACACAUUCACAUAUUGGAUUGGAGAGCUGCUCUCUCCCCCAGAUUAGG
rnacentral:lncRNA from 1 species